rnacentral:rRNA from 1 species
GUCUCAGGCCGUAUCAGCCUGAAGGUGCCCGAUCUCGUCUGAUCUCGGAAGCUAAGCAGGGUCGGGCCUGGUUAGGAUCUUGGAUGGGAGACCACCUGGGAAUCCCGGGUGCUCGAGGCU